GGGAUGUUAGUUAAAUAAUAACAUCAUCUUGUCGAGAUGAAGCUAUGGGUUGGACCCCCAUAUAUCCCC
rnacentral:tRNA from 1 species